CUAGCGCCUCCUCCUGGGCUGUGACUGCAACCUGGUGCACCGGCUGGGCCCCGAGGAUGUCUGCUGCAGUCGGAGAGGCCUGUGUGACACACGAGAAUACAAGUAUAUACAGUCUCCAGUGUACCUGGUGCUUCUCCAGCAGUAGCUUGGCCACAGAUAUGUGUCCGUUCCUCACUGCGUCCAUAAAGGGAGUGACCCCACAGCUGUCCCUGCCAUCCGGAACAUAACCACACCUGCAAACAGAGAAGUGAGGACAAACAUUGACAAACACACCUCUGUACCAAGAUGCUGACCACUUCUUCACAGCCAUGCAUCGCUGUAGGAACAGAGAAUAGACAGAGAAGGGGUAAUGAACCAGAAUUUUUUUAUGCAUAUUGUUCAAAACACCUGUGACAUGUCUGAUUUGUUAGCACAGUGAUUACC